CCCGCCGCAGGACCGAAUAACUCUGCUCCCAUGAACUAUACAGUCCGAGCGAUUAUUUAUAAAUCAAAUCAAAACUUUCAACAACGGAUCUCUUGGUUCUGGCAUCGAUGAAGAACGCAGCGAAAUGCGAUAAGUAAUGUGAGUUGCAGAAUUCAGUGAAUCAUCGAAUCUUUGAACGCACAUUGCGCCCCUUGGUAUUCCGAGGGGCAUGCCUGUUCGAGCGUCAUUUCACCAAUCAAGCCCCGCUUGGUGUUAGGUGCGGCCCGCGCUCUCGAGCGGCGGGCCCGCCCGAAAUGCAUCGGCGAGGACACCGACCCCCGGCGUGUUAGAUUUUCUGACGUCGGGAGCACCGGUUGGCCUCCGCCGCGCGACCUUUCAUUUAUCAAGGUUGACCUCGGAUCAGGUAUGAAUACCCGCUGAACUUAAGCAUAUCAAUAAGCGGAGGA
rnacentral:rRNA from 1 species